rnacentral:rRNA from 1 species
UCGGCUGACGGCUCAGUAACACGUGGAUAAUCUGCCCUUAGGUGGAGAAUAAUCUCGGGAAACUGAGGAUAAUACUCCAUAGAUCUAGGAUGCUGGAAUGCAUCUAGAUUGAAAGCUCCGGCGCCUAAGGAUGAGUCUGCGGACUAUCAGGUUGUAGUCAGGGUAAAGACCUGACUAACCUACGACGGAUACGGGUUGUGAGAGCAGUAACCCGGAGACGAUAUCUGAGACACGAUAUCGGGCCCUACGGGGCGCAGCAGGCGCGAAACCUUCGCACUGUGCGAAAGCGCGAUGAGGGAAUCCCAAGUGCUUGCACGUAAGUGUAAGCUGUUUCUGUGUAUAAAAAGCAUAGAGAGUAAGAGCUGGGUAAGACGGGUGCCAGCCGCCGCGGUAAUACCUGCAGCUCAAGUGGUGACCACUAUUAUUGGGCCUAAAACGUUCGUAGCCGGUUUAGUAAAUGCCUGGGUAAAUCGAGCCGCUUAACGGUUCGAAUUCCGGGUAGACUGCUAAACUUGGGACCGGGAGAGGCUAGAGGUACUCCUGGGGUAGAGGUGAAAUUCUGUAAUCCUGGGGGGACCACCAGUGGCGAAGGCGUCUAGCUAGAACGGGUCUGACGGUGAGGGACGAAGCCCUGGGGCGCAAACCGGAUUAGAUACCCGGGUAGUCCAGG